GACGAACGCUGGCGGCGUGCUUAACACAUGCAAGUCGAACGGAAAGGCCCUGCUUUUGUGGGGUGCUCGAGUGGCGAACGGGUGAGUAACACGUGAGUAUCCUGCCCUUGACUUUGGGAUAACUUCAGGAAACUGGGGCUAAUACCGGAUAGGAGCUCCCGCUGCGUGGUGGGGGUUGGAAAGUUUCGGCGGUUGGGGAUGGUCUCGCGGCUUAUGAGCUGGUUGGUGGGGUAGUGGCUUACCAAGGCUUAGACGGGUAGCCGGCCUGAGAGGGUGACCGGCGACAAUGGGACUGAGAGACGGCGCAGUCGCCUACGGGAGGCAGCAGGGGGGAACAUGGCACAAUGGGCGCAAGCCUGAGGAGGCAACGCCGCGUGCGGAAUGACGGCCUUCGGGGUGUAAACAGCUGUCGCCUGUGACGAAGCGGGAGUGACGGUAAUGGGUAAAGAAGCACCGGCUAACUACGUG
rnacentral:rRNA from 1 species